rnacentral:lncRNA from 1 species
CAGAGAUCAGUUGCAAGCGGAGAAGACUGAAUUAGAGAUGAGUGUUGCUCGGAUUCAGAUGGCUAAUCGGGAGAUCAGAGUGAGGAUGGAAGAUCAGGAUAAGCGACAUGCUCUGGAAGUGAAGCGCUUUGAGAUGGAUACCGCUUACCAUGGCAAGGUCAGUCAAGCUUUAGCGUCGUCCACAAGGGAGCACGACAUAACCAAAGAGAGAUUGGCUAGAGCUUCGAAAGUCAUUGAAGAUGAG